rnacentral:rRNA from 1 species
CUACACUCUUUCCCUACACGACGCUCUUCCGAUCUAUCCUGUAAUCCUUGGUGAACCACCUGUGGCGAAGGCGCCUCACCAGAACGGCUCCGACAGUGAGGGACGAAAGCUGGGGGAGCAAACCGGAUUAGAUACCCGGGUAGUCCCAGCUGUAAACGAUGCGCGUUAGGUGUAUCGGUGACCACGAGUCACCGAGGUGCCGAAGAGAAAUCGUGAAACGUGCCGCCUGGGAAGUACGGUCGCAAGGCUGAAACUUAAAGGAAUUGGCGGGGGAGCACCACAACAGGUGGAGCCUGCGGUUUAAUCGGACUCAACGCCGGAAAUCUCACCGGAUAAGACAGCUGGAUGAUAGUCGGGCUGAAGACUCUACUUGACUAGCUGAGAGGAGGUGCAUGGCCGUCGUCAGUUCGUACUGUGAAGCAUCCUGUUAAGUCAGGCAACGAGCGAGACCCACGCCAACAGUUGCUAGCUCGUCCCCCGGGAUGGAGAGGACACUGUUGGGACCGCCUCUGCUAAAGAGGAGGAAGGAAUGGGCAACGGUAGGUCAGCAUGCCCCGAAUUAUCCGGGCUACACGCGGGCUACAAUGGGUGGGACAAUGGGUAUCGACACCGAAAGGUGAAGGCAAUCUCCUAAACCCAUCCUUAGUUCGGAUUGUGGGCUGCAACUCGCCCACAUGAAGCUGGAAUCUGUAGUAAUCGUGUCUCAACAUGGCACGGUGAAUAUGUCCCUGCUCCUUGCACACACCGCCCGUCACUGCAUCUGAGUGGGGUCUGGGUGAGGCACAGUCUGGUUGGCCGUCUCGAAUCUAGGCUCUGCAAGGAGGCAGAAGUCGUAACAAGGUAGCCGUAGGGGAAUCUGCGGCUG